GCGUAGGUGAUGGACAACAGGUUGAUAUUCCUGUACUACCGAUAACCGUUUGAGAGAAGGGAUGACACAGUAGGAUAAGCUAAGCACACUGUUGGUUAUGUGUGCCCAAGCAUUGAGGCAGUCAAAGCAGGCAAAUCCGCUUUGAUAAUGCUGGGAUGUGAUGGGGAGCGAAAUUUAGUAGCGAAGUAGCCGAUUUCACACUGUCAAGAAAAGUCUCUAUCGAGGGUAAAGGUACCCGUACCCCAAACCGACACCGGUGGGUGAGGAGAGUAUCCUAAGGCCAGCGAGAGAACUGUUGUUAAGGAACUCGGCAAAAUGACCCCGUAACUUAGGGAUAAGGGGUGCCACCAUCAGGUGGCCGCAGAGAAUAGGCCCAAGCGACUGUUUACCAAAAACAUAGGUUUCUGCUAAGUCGCAAGACGAUGUAUAGGAGCUGACGCCUGCCCGGUGCUGGAAGGUUAAGGGGAUCUGUUAGAGCAA
rnacentral:rRNA from 1 species